UACCCUGCAGCGUCAACAACUUAACCAUUUGCCAGACAAAUAUGUGAGGAAAUAAAAGAAAACAGAAACUGGUAUGGAGCGGUUGUCAGCAGAUGGCCUCGGUAUCUAUCUGAUGAGCUUGGAAUUGGAGAAUGCUAUUGCUGAUGUCGAAAGAAGUUAUGAUGGCAUUAGAAAAGUAGUAUAUGGAGACUGUAAUGCCUUUAAGAGACAACAUAUCAAAAAUUCUUGAGCAGCAUGUUCAAGGACUAACAAGAAGACAGUCGAUAGCUCCGUAUGCUAUGCCAAAUCAGUUAGGGGCAUUCAUGAAUACAGUUAAAACAAUUCUAGAUCUGUUACAUUGCUGGACUGAGGAUAUUCUGAAAU